CACAGAAGUUGUCCUCUAGCCACAGCAGCUCGAACUUUUUUGAUUGUUGUUGCUGCUUUCUCCCAUCACCCCCAUCCCCUUUUGACAAAGAUCCAACUGUAAAAAGUCUUACGUAACAGUUCAGGACUACUUCGGUUCUUUUACUGGGGUAUCUAAACAUUAACCCCUCUUCAAAUUGGGAUUUAUCCUUGCUGUCAAAGGACUACAUGAUAAAGCUGCUAUUACCAAUGGAGUGAUGUAUAUGCAUGUACCACAAUGGUACAAUCUUCACAUUAUCUCCACAGAACCUGAAGCUCCCAGGAUCCAAGAGUUCUAAUCACAAAGUUUCCAGUAUAUCAAGAGGACUCAGGAGGACUAUGAUAACAUUUAUAUCUCCAAGUCUGGGGAAAAAAAAUGUGGUUUCAACAUUUCAUAUCUCUGGAAAAGGAGGUAAGUGAAAUGGGAAAGGAAGGGCAUGGUAAGUUCUGACAACUCAAAACCAAUCUAAGUCAAGAAUUAAACAGAUCAACUUAUGAUCAGCUAUUAUCUAACUCUUAGAUAAUUUAAACCUUGACUUUUUUUAAACCUUAGAUUUGAUCAUUGCACUUAAUACAUAAAUCCCUUAGCCAAACUCUCACAAAACAGCCAAUAUGUACCUUAAACUUGAUGAUAGAAACUAAAGGAUUUAAAACAAAUAAAAGGAAUGAGGAUGAUGAAAAGCUUUAUGCCAUGAAAGUUAAUUAUCUUAAAACACAAUGGGAAACACCUCUGUGUCAUUCCAGAAACUUACCUUUCAUUCUUCUGUAGUUUUUAAGUCUAUGAAAGGUAUUCUUAGAAUGCUAUGUAUUUAAGGAAUGGUAUUCUGUUGGUAUCUAAUGAUCUGGUUUCGCCAAAAUUAGUACAGUUCUAAAGUUUGAAUAUUUACCCAAUUAAAAUAAGGCUUGACAUCACUUCAUAUUAGACCAAGGGGAAGAACUGUUUAAAAUAUAUAUUAAAGAGUUUUAAAAACACUACACAAUUGCUUAACUUGUUUGUAUGCAAUUUGCUUUCAUAAAAAUUCAACAAAGCUGGCUAACUGGAGAGCUUUGACCAAAGUAAAAUAAUUUAACUUAUGUGGAAUGUAAACAAUUUACAUUCAAAUCAGAUUAUCAGUGGUUGAUAUUUUUUUAUUAUAAUACCACUUGAAUGCGUUAAAAAAAUUUGAGAACAGCCUUUAAAAUGUAAACCUAAAGCAAAUGGCAAGAACUAUCCAUAGUUGGAGUUAAAUUUCAAUUCAGUCAGCAGUUCUGUUAGCUCUGUUCCUACUGAGCAUGCCCAGAUCUGGACCCCACUCCUGGCCUUUAGAAAUCCAACAUUCUGAAAAGAUCCAUAUUAUUAAUUCUGUUCCUAGAUUUUUCCCAUUACGGACAUUCAAUAGAAAAAGAUUUCUGAUAUUGUAAUUACUCUCUGUGCUCUUAGAAGAAAUGCAGGCUUUCCACUAGUACAUAGUUGUUUUGUUUUCCAUUUUUAUUUUUUUGCCUUUUUAGCAUGAAAAAUAACUUGUGUCCUAUCAUUGCCACCUCUAUGUUAAGUUAGUCAUUCAGGAUCUUAGCUAGGGAGAUUAUCAAUUAUGAAAGAACAUUUUACCUACAGACCUAACUGCUAUUAUUAUAGGUAAACAAGAGGAAGAAAUUUACAUGCUUGGCUUACCUCUGAUGCAGUGAAGGUUUUAGCUACAGAUUUCAACAGUUUUUGACAGUCAAGGGAGGAGACAGGAGCAUAGGAAUCAUAAAGUCUAGUAUUCAAAAUCUGGCUUAUAACCUUGGCUCCUAGCAAAUCAUCUGCUUAAGACUCGGUUUUCUCAUAAAGAAAAUGUGGACUGAAAGUUUAAUGUGAUCAAACAUACAAAAAAUUUUAGUACACAGGUCCCCAAUAAGUGUUAAUAUCUUCUUUACCUCUGCUCUUUAAUAUUUAAAAUGCUAAUAUACAAUUUAGCUAAUAUACAAUUUAAUUACAAAUACUAUUCAAAGCCUGCUUGUAAUAAGUCACUGCAAUCUCAUCUCUAACUGUAUGCAAAUUGAUUAUCAAAAUAAAAGUACUCUGAACUUGAAACCUGGAAAAGAACAUGAGAGCCACUAGCAGUGGUCUCACUGUUUAUGGGCUCUUGGGAUUCAGGUGCAAGCUGAAGAAGGGCUCCCAGGCCGGCUGUUAGAGGACUCCAAUGAACAUUCAACGCUGUCGGUGAGUUUGGGAUUUGAAAAAACCACCGACCGUUGACUGUACCUUAGGGUCCUUACAGACAACACUACUUUACUGAAGCAAAGAGGCAGACUGUACCUUCACAUAUCAUGUGAGAUCACCAGAAAUAAUUGUGUGGCCUGUCCCCCUCCUCUCAAAGUGUUCCAGUGCAUUUUUUAAAAAGCUUCCUUCCACUUCUAUUACCCAUUAUUCCUUGAUUUUUGUUUUUUCAUUUCAAAAAGGUAAGGACAGUUCCAUGACAAUACCUAAUAAACUUAAAUGUCUCCUAGAAAUAUGCCGUUCUACUGAGAAAUAGGAUGUAGUGGGGAGAGAUUUAUUAAAAAUAUGUAUUUCAUUUUGAAAUAAAACUCAGUUAAAUGUUUUAUUCACACAUCCAUUUCUGUUAUACUCCCUCAAAAUUUUUAAUAAGAGUCAAGGGGAGAAUUUAAUAGCAAAACAACACAAAACUAUCCCACAUCUACAAAGCUUUAUCAUAUUCUGCCUCCAGUUACAGUUAACGUAGUUUAGUUUUGAUAGCUCACCAACAGUAUAAACCAUUGUCUUACUAUUUUCAUCACCACAUAUGCUUAUAUAAAUAAAUGUCUGUUAAAUUCAAGAAAAGUCAGAUCUGCGGUCAGACAGAUUUAGGAUAAAUAUCGACUCAACCCCCUGAAACUAGCUCUGUGACUCUUAGCAAGUGUCUCAGUUUUCCCACAUACAGAGUAGGGGAAAUAAGAGUACCUAUCUCAUGAAAUUCUGAGAUCCCGAGAUAAUAUCUAAGUUGUUUCAGACACUCCUAACAGCAAAUGUUCAAUAUAUACUAGCUAUUAUUACUUCACUCCAAACAAAAUCCGUGCUAGUUUACCUUGAAAAAAGCACUCAUACUUCUCAGUUCAAAACAGAGAGGCAGAAGCAGUAUUCCUGGGCACUGGUUUACGGUAUCAGUAUCAAGCACCGCCUGUGCCAUCACAGAGAUACAUGUGAGGUUCUCCAGGAGCUACUUCCUUCGCUGCUCCACCUUUAAGAGCCUCCCCAAGCUACUGUCAAUGUUAUCUAUCAUGAUGUGGGCCCUCAACCAUACGGUGGCUGGAUACUAAGACACAGGCACAGACUUCACAGAACCAGCAUGAAAAAGGAAAAACAAGAGUCAGAGAAAACCAAGACAACCACAACAACUGGAAACACUGAUGGCUGCACUCAACAUUCAUUGCUGUCGGUGGGUUUGAGUGCAAAUCAACUCACUGAUCAAUGAAUGCAAACUGCGGACCAAACAACCCAAGGAGGCAAAAGUAUGCUCAAAAGGUCACCUGAGUGGAUCAGCUACUGCUCCAGUGAGGGCUCCUACUAUUUCUAAUACGCCUGCAAAAGCUUCUACCAUUCUUUUUGGUUUUGAUUUGCAGUAAGUUCUCUGAAUUCCUAGUACUUUUCGUUGUUCUUCUUUGACGUUCGACAGGAGUGAAGAACAUGAUAUUUCAUAGGGAGGAUGAAUAUCAUACCACAUUUAAAAGCCAGUGGUUGCAUAACUUUUUAAGUUAAAAAAUCCUAUGUUCAUCAAAUAUUUUUUAUUUAUUUGACAGAUAGAGUGAGAUAGUGAGAGAGAAAGGUCUUCCUUCCGUUGGUUCACCCCCUAAAUGGUCACCAUCCCCAAAAUGGCCGCCACGGCUGGAGCUACACGGAUCCAAAGGCAGGAGCCAGGUACUUCUUCCUGGUCUCCAAUGUGGGUGCAGGCGCCCAAGCACUUGGGCCAUCCUCCACUGCCUUCCUGGGCCACAGCAGAGAGAUGGACUGGAAGAGGAGCAACCAGGACUAGAACCCACUGCCCAUAUGGGAUGCUGACACCGCAGGCAGAGGAUUAACCAAGUGAGCCACAGCGCUGGCCCCUGUUCAUUAAAUAUUAAAUAUAAAAAUAUAGCAAGUAAAAACUGCAAAAUCUCUUUCCUCACAUCUGCAACCCAUUUCCUCAGUGGAAUCGUACAUGUAAUAAAUUUUUUUAUUAUUUGAUAUUAUCAACAUAAUAUCAGAAUUUUAUUUUCUAUCCUUAGAUAUCUUAAACUAUCCACAUACAAACACAUACAUAUCUAUAAUUUUGUGUUUUUUGGGGGGGGGCUAGUUUAAACAAAAAUAGCUUAUUUUAGACCUAAUGUUCUAGAAAUGCUUUUUCACUCUUCCACAACAAUCUUUUUUAUAUUCUUAUCAUUCUUUUAAAUGGCUAUAAUACUAUGUGUUAGUAUGAACCCCAGGUUAUUACUGUUGAAAAUAUUUGAAUAUUCUCUUCUGUCAAAACUAUGAAGUUUAUUCUUUCCGAUAUUGGCAAAUCAUAUUCUUCUAACAAGAAAAAUACCUAAGUGAAAUGAUUAAAAUUUUUCUUAACAAAAAUUAAAAUGUAUCAGUUCGCUAAAUCCUAUAAUGAAAUAUGAAAUAAACCACUAAAUCUUCCAUGCUCAUUAAAAAAAGGACUUUUGGUCAUGAAUAAUUUAUUAUAGAAUUAUGACUAAGAUGUUAAGAAACAAAUUCUCAUAGCAAAGAUCAAAUAAAGCAAUAGAAGUCUUGUCAACCUAGCCUUCCAAAAGUUUUUCUCGAGGAUAUGAAGGAAGAAGUACAGAUAUAAGGUAUAAGUAUACCUAUAAGGAAGAAGUAUAGAUAUAAUAAAAAUCAAAUGAAAGAUGUUUAAAAAACGUAAGAAUUCAGGGCCGGCGCUGUGGCAUAACAAGUUAAAGCCCUUUCAGGGCCGGCGCUGUGGCAUAACAAGUUAAAGCCCUGCCCUGCAGCACCGGCAUCCCAUAUGGGUGCCGGUUUGAGUACUGGCUACUACACUUCCAAUCCAGCUCUCUACUAUGGCCUGGGAAAGUAGCAGAAGAUGGUCCAAGUGCUUAGGCCCCUGCACCCAUGUGGGAGACCAGGAAGAAGCUCCUGGCUCCUGGCUUCAGAUCAGCUCAGCUCUGACUAUUGUGGUCAUCUGGGGAGUGAACCAACAGAUGGAAGUCAGUCAGUCUCUCUCUCUCUCUUUCUCUCCCCCUCUCUCUCCCUCUCUCUGUAAUUCUUUCAAAUAAAUAAAAUAAAUCUUUAAAACAAAACAUAAGAAGUCAGGAAAAUAUGGAGUUUAAGACAGUGUUUCCCAAACCUGGUUACAAACCAGAAUCUUCAAGCGUUGCUUUUAAAAAUGUAAAUUCCUGGGGCCACUGUCAUGGUGUAGCAGGUAAAGCUGCCACCUGCAAUGCCAGCAUCCUAUAUAGGUGCAGGCUGGAGACCCAGCUGAUCCACUUCCAACGUACUCCCUGCUAAUGUGCCUGCAAAAGCAGCAGAUGAUGGCCCAAGUGUCUGGGCCCCUGGGCCCCUGGGCCCCUGCCACCCUCAUGGGAGAUCUAGAGGAGGCUCCUGACUCCUGGCUUCGGCCUGUCCCAGACCCAGCUGUUGCAGCCAUGUGGGGAGUGAACCAGUAGAGAGAGAGGAUCUUCCCUCCCCCCUCCAGUAUGUGUGUGUGUGUGUGUGUGUGUGUGUGUGUAAAAACUCAUGACUUUCAAAUAAAUAAAUAUAUCUUUAAAAGACAUUGUUUGGCCAGCGCUGCGGCUCAAUAGGCUAAUCCUCCGCCUCGCAGCGCCGGCACACCGGGUUCUAGUCCCAGUCAGGGCGCCGGAUUCUGUCCCGGUUGCCCCUCUUCCAGGCCAGCUCUCUGCUGUGGCCAGGGAGUGCAGUGGAGGAUGGCCCAGGUCCUUGGGCCCUGCACCCCAUGGGAGACCAGGAGAAGCACCUGGCUCCUGUACUUCGGAUUAGUGUGGUGCGCCUGCCACAGCGCACCAGCCGUGGCAGCUUUGGAGGGUGAACCAACGGCAAAAGGAAGACCUUUCUCUCUGUCUGUCUCUCUCACUAUCCACCCUGCCUGUCAAAAAAAAAAAAAAAAAAAAAAUAGCCCUCUCUCUCUAUCUGUCCCUCUCACUGUCUGUAACUCUACCUCUCAAAUAAAUUCAAAUAAAUACAGUUAAAAAAAAAAAAAAAGAGAUGAUACU